UGGGGAAUAUCGCACAAUGGGCGAAAGCCUGAUGCAGCAACGCCGCGUGAGUGAUGAAGGCCUUCGGGUUGUAAAGCUCUGUCUUUUGGGACGAUAAUGACGGUACCAAAGGAGGAAGCCACGGCUAACUACGUGCCAGCAGCCGCGGUAAUACGUAGGUGGCAAGCGUUGUCCGGAUUUACUGGGCGUAAAGGAUGCGUAGGCGGAUUUUUAAGUGAGAUGUGAAAACCCUAAGCUUAACUUGGGGACUGCAUUUCAUACUGGAAAUCUAGAGUGCGGGAGAGGAGAAUGGAAUUCCUAGUGUAGCGGUGAAAUGCGUAGAGAUUAGGAAGAACACCAGUGGCGAAGGCGAUUCUCUGGACCGUAACUGACGCUGAGGCAUGAAAGCGUGGGUAGCAAACAGGAUUAGAUACCCUGGUAGUCCACGCCGUAAACGAUGAGUACUAGGUGUAGGAGGUAUCGACCCCUUCUGUGCCGCAGUUAACACAAUAAGUACUCCGCCUGGGAAGUACGAUCGCAAGAUUAAAAACUCAAAGGAAUUGAC
rnacentral:rRNA from 1 species